rfam:Myotis davidii contig170097, whole genome shotgun sequence.
GGUGGUUCUCAGAUGAUGUACCCCGGAAUUCAGCUCCCUCCUCUCUGGUUCCAGGUGCAUCACCCAAGAACCACA